UACGUAGGGACCAAGCGUUGUUCGGAUUUACUGGGCGUAAAGGGCGCGUAGGCGGUGCGGCAAGUCACCUGUGAAACCUCUGGGCUUAACCCAGAGCCUGCAGGCGAAACUGCCGUGCUAGAGUGCGGAAGAGGCGAGUGGAAUUCCUGGUGUAGCGGUGAAAUGCGCAGAUAUCAGGAGGAACACCAAUUGCGAAGGCAGCUCGCUGGGACGGUACUGACGCUGAGACGCGAAAGCGUGGGGAGCAAACAGG
rnacentral:rRNA from 1 species